rnacentral:tRNA from 1 species
GUGUGCGUAAUUUAAAGAAAAUAUCAAGUUGUGACCUUGAAAAUAGACAAUCUCACACAC